rnacentral:rRNA from 1 species
CAAUAGCGUAUAUUAAAGUUGUUGCGGUUAAAAAGCUCGUAGUUGGAUUUCUGUUGAGAACGUCCGGUCUGCACUAUGUGCGUGUAUCUGGUUCGGUCUUGGCAUCCUCUUGAGGAACGUAUCUGCGCUUGAUUGCGUGGAGCGGUAUUCAAGACUUUUACUUUGAGGAAAUUAGAGUGUUCACGGCAGGCAAGCGCCUUGAAUACGUUAGCAUGGAAUAAUAAUAUAGGAUCUUGGUUCUAUUUUGUUGGUUUCUAGGGCUAAGGUAAUGAUUAAUAGGGAUAAUUGGGGGCAUUUGUAUUAACGCGUCAGAGGUGGAAUUCUUGGAUUGCGUUACGACAAACUACUGCGAAAGCAUUUGCCAAGGAUGUUUUCAUUGA